UGAGUGACGUGUCCAACCAAGCGUAUUACACGCGCGCAUUGGGUCGGACGUUGCCUGGCCCGCCGCGUUGAACGUGCGCCUUUGGGUCGGGUGGCGGGCCUGGGAGAUGUGGUGAACAAAGGGACCACCCACAAUAAUAGGAAGUGGAAUCAUUUGAAUAUUUACUGAAGAAUUAGUUGCCAAAACAGCAUUACUAUAGAACUUACUUAGUGCAUCGAGAAAAGUACUAAGAACACCACACAAUUCGACUGGCCCCAGGUGAUGAAGAACUCUCAAAAACACUCAAAUGAAGCAGUGGCAACCUACUUAGGCUGGUCCAUUUUCAGUACAAUCUUCUGUUGUCUUCCAUUUGGACUAGCUGCAGUGGUUUAUUCCCGUAAGGCUAAUGGAGCUCUUGAUCGUGGAAACGUGGAAGAAGCCAGAGGUGCCUCUAGAACUGCCAAAAGAUUAAAUAUAACAGCAUCUGCGUUCGGAAUCGUUUUCAUUGGAGCAGUAAUCAUUUAUGUUGCUGUUCAUCACCUUCCAGAGAAAGCACAUAUGUAAAGCAUUUUACAGAUACUUAACUUUGCUAUCCCCUGUUUAAAAAGGGUGAUAGGAAAGAAAAAUUGUUGCUGUGUACACAAAAUUAUUCUUCAUUAUAAAAAAUAUGCCCAGGAACUCCAGAUUUUUCAUUGCAUUUCAUAUGUACUUGAUUUGGUUUGACUAGAAAAUGAUUGAGCAUCUGUUAUAUGUAACUUCAUAAAAUAUAUAAUGGCAAU